rnacentral:lncRNA from 1 species
AAGAAACCUUGCAGAUUAGAAUUCGAACAAGUGGGAGUUGGCCAUGAAGGAUGAGAUGGAUUCCCUGCUAGGAAAUAAGACAUGGGAGUUGACAGAACUUCCACUUGGGAAGAAGGUUUUGCAGAACAAGUGGGUGUACCAUGUAAAAAUUGAGCAAGAUGAUAGCAAGAGAUACAAGGCAAGACUUGUUCUAAAAGGCUUUUAGCAGAAAAGGGGAAUUGAUUACUCCGAGAUCUUUUCUCCUAUGGUGAAGAUCACGACCAUUAGGCUAGUAUUGGCCAUGGUUGCUGCUGAAGACUUGCAUCUUGAACAAUUAGAUGUGAAAAUAGCUUUUCUUCAUGGGGAUCUAAAAGAAGACAUCUACAUGCACCAGCCUGAAGGAUUCAUAGUUCAAGGCAAAGAGAAUUUGGUUUGUAAACUAACAAAGAGCCUGUACGGUUUGAAACAAGCUCCUAGACAGUGGUACAAGAAAUUUGACAACUUCAUGUGCAACUCAGUGUAUAUCAGAUGUCAGGAAGAUCAUUGUUGCUAUGUCAGGUAUUUUGAAAAUUCUUAUAUCAUUCUAUUGUUAUACGUGG